GUUCAUUUGUACACUUCUUCUAACCAUUGGAUUCUGCUCAUUUAUAACCGAUUUCAUUUCGGACAUUGAUGAAAAUCUGCAUCAGUUCAAUGAUCAUUUUCUCAGGGCUGAUAAUCCGAGGCGGAUCGAUAUGAAAUCAAAACUAUUGGCCAUAAUAAGAUUUCAUUCGGAGGCAAAAGAGUUUGCAAAUCGAUUUUCGAAUACCAACAGCGGCAUUAUUUUCGUGUAUCUUCUUUUUGCAAUUGUGGCAUUUAGCAACGCAAUCCUGCAGAUCAGCAUAUUACCGGAAAUAAAAUCGUUUUCAGACCAUUACACCGAAGCUGAAAGUAUUGUGACAAUAUUGCAAAUUGGCGCUCCAGCACCAGUCAAUGUGUUUUGGUUGUAUUUAAUUUGCAACUAUGGACAUCAAGUCAAUGCACGCUUCAGUAACAUUGCAAACGAAUUAUAUCAGCUGGACUGGUGUAUGCUGCCAUCGGACAUGCAAAAGAUGUGGCCAAUGAUGAUUAUUCUUGCUCAAAACAAUUUUUAUCUUCGUGGACUUGGACGUACAUACUGCACACGAACGCUUUUUAAAAAGAUUAUCAAAACUACUUUCUCUUAUUUCACGAUGUUGCGCAAAUUUGACCUUUAACUUUGCGUUUUUAAUAUGAAAUAUUGAAUAGGGAUCAAAACCCAUUCAUUUAUUCGAAUAAUAUAUGCGAGG